rnacentral:rRNA from 1 species
UACGUAGGGGGCAAGCGUUGUCCGGAUUCAUUGGGCGUAAAGAGCGUGUAGGCGGCCAGGUAGGUCGGUUGUGAAAACUGGAGGCUCAACCUUCAGAGGUCGACCGAAACCAUCUGGCUAGAGUCCGGGAGAGGAGACUGGAAUUCCUGGUGUAGCGGUGAAAUGCGCAGAUAUCAGGAGGAACACCGAUGGCGAAGGCAGGUCUCUGGGCCAUAACUGACGCUGAGAAGCGAAAGCAUGGGGAGCGAACAGGA